AGAAUCCCGUCUGUGACCGGUGACCGAUCCCAUGCGAAACCCUUUCGACGAGUCGAGUUGUUUGGGAAUGCAGCUCAAAAUGGGUGGUAAAUUUCAUCUAAAGCUAAAUACUGGCUGGAGACCGAUAGCGCACAAGUAGAGUGAUCGAAAGAUGAAAAGCACUUUGGAAAGAGAGUCAAAAAGUACGUGAAAUUGUUGAAAGGGAAGCGCUUGCAACCAGACCUGUCCGUGGGUGAUCAGCCGCCGUUCUCGGUGGUGCACUCGCCUACGAUCAGGCCAGCAUCGGUUCGGGCGGCCGGACAAAGGCCUUGGGAAUGUAGCUCCUCUCGGGGAGUCUUAUAGCCCUCGGUGCAAUGUGGCCAGCCCGGACCGAGGACCGCGCUUCGGCUAGGAUGCUGGCGUAAUGGUUGUAAGCGACCCGUCUUGAAACACGGACCAAGGAGUCUAACAUCUAUGCGAGUGUUUGGGUGUUAAACCCAUACGCGGAAUGAAAGUGAACGGAGGUGAGAACCCUUUAGGGCGCAUCAUCGACCGAUCCAGAUGUCUUCGGAUGGAUUUGAGUAUGAGCAUAGCUGUUGGGACCCGAAAGAUGGUGAACUAUGCCUGAAUAGGGUGAAGCCAGAGGAAACUCUGGUGGAGGCUCGCAGCGGU
rnacentral:rRNA from 1 species